AAAUGAAUAGACGGGGACCCGCACAAGCGGUGGAGCAUGUGGUUUAAUUCGAAGCAACGCGAAGAACCUUACCAGGUCUUGACAUCUGGGUGACAGGUCAGUAAAAUGACCCUCCCUUCGGGGCACCCAAGACAGGUGGUGCAUGGUUGUCGUCAGCUCGUGUCGUGAGAUGUUAGGUUAAGUCCUGCAACGAGCGCAACCCCUAUCUUUAGUAGCCAUCAGUUAGGCUGGGCACUCUAAAGAGACUGCCAGGGAUAACCUGGAGGAAGGCGGGGAUGACGUCAAAUCAUCAUGCCCCUUAUGAUCUGGGCUACACACGUGCUACAAUGGUGACUACAAAGGGAAGCGAAGUCGUGAGGCGAAGCAAAUCCCAUAAAGGUCAUCUCAGUUCGGAUUGUAGUCUGCAACUCGACUACAUGAAGCUGGAAUCGCUAGUAAUCGUGGAUCAGAAUGCCACGGUGAAUACGUUCCCGGGUCUUGCACACACCGCCCGU
rnacentral:rRNA from 1 species